GACUAGCCAUUGACCAAGUUUGGGAGCUCUGGAUCGAUGUGUACGACAGCAUGUUUCAGUUCCCGCCAAUAUCCAGCAACUUCGCACUACCAUUGAAGAGGAGUGAGACAACAGUCCACAAGCCAUAAUCAAUAGCCAGAUCAACUCUAUGCGAAGGGAAUGUGUCCCGCUGCAUGAGUAAAACGCCAAAUGGAUCUACCUCCUGGUCCUCUUCCCCUGUCUUACCCACCAAGGGUAGAGACAGAGAUGACCUCGCCUACUGAAAUACCGGAUUGGGCAAAGCCACCAGAAGACGACUCAAGCCAACCAACUACUGAACCUGACUGGUGUCAGGAAGAAUCACCCUCUGCCUCAAGUGACACCUCUGAAUGGGAACAGCUGAUAGACUCAUUGCUGAUAGAGUAAGGGCACUGUCAUAACCAGAGGCCCAUAUAUGCACUGUAAGAAAAGUAUUUCCUGUUGUAAGAUAUGUCAUCACCCUCUCUGCUCUGAGGGAAUGGGAGGAGCAGCAGAUCGGGUGCAGAGAAUCAAAAGGUAUAUAAAGAGACAUUUGCCAUUACUUUGGCGCUGACUUCUUGAAUUCUGAAUUCAUUUAGGCAACCAUUUGACUUCGGGUAAAUUGACACCUGACUCAAAUUACUUAAAAGAUUCUAACUUGUUGGAUCUGAGAAGUGACUCUCCGAUAUACCGUUUAACUAUCGAUCAGCUGUUUUGUCGCUUUGCGCCAGGUACGUGGGUGCUGAUGCAAAUAUAUCCAGAGAGUUCUCUGUAGCCUCUCGAUUGAGCUCAGCAUCUCGACCUCGUUGCGAGCCGCUGACACUGCGGUAGUUCAACGGGGUUGAGAGGCACUCCAGUCCUUAAGGUUAUCCCUUGCUUUCUCUUAUGGAUGUCUGAAUUGACCCUGUGAUUUUGCGCCAGGUACGUGGGUGCUGAUGCAAAUAUAUCCAGAGAGUUCUCUGUAGCCUCUCGAUUGAGCUCAGUAUCGCGACCUCGUUGCGGACACAGACUUUUUUGAUAUUCCAUUUGGGGCAGGGAAUCACCAGCGGGUGCUCUUAUCCAGUCCAAACUUGAAUCUCUCAAUUUAGCAAAGCACCGACUCCAAGUCAACCUCUCAGCCAGUAGAGGGGAGUCGCUACUAACUAAAUUCUAAAAGAACUCUGACCGAUUGAAACUCUGCUCCUGAUCUUGUGGGUCUCCUCGUCAUCUCUCAAAGGCUUCCAUGUCUUCUCCCUGGACAUCCUCAAUGUCCACCUUUUGAACAUCAGACUCUGAGGCCUAAUUUUCACUGUCACUUUCCAACCUUGAGGAUGGCUCAUUGUCAGGCUCAAAAAGCCUCAAAUUUGCCCAAUUUUUCAACCCUUAUAUUGGUGAGCCUGUUGCGUGUGUGUGUUCCCAAACAAGGACCAGUUGUGGGCUGAGGUGGCUGAUGUUGUUCGUAUUUGGAGGAUGAUGGAGGCAACAGCGGAAAGAGCCUCAGAUCCACAAAGUCCCUUCCACCAUGUGGCUGAUGAGAUAUUUUGGCACGACUGCCAUAUUGCAUCUCCAACCCAAAGCCCUUGCUUGGAAGUGUACUUCGCCAGCCUGCCAAGAACCUUGCCCUCAUCCAGGCCAAGGUGGCGAGACACGGAAGUGAUGACACCAUAGGUCUUGUUGAUCUCUCCACCAGAUAGGAUGCUCUUGCCGGCAUACUUGGGGUCCAACAUGUACGCUGCAUCGUGUAUGGGCUUCAGGCAGAAGUCUUCAUGCUUUUGAUGUAUUUCAGAACUGGAGCAACAGUGAAUUGGGCAAGGGCAGUAUUGAUUUAGUCUCUUACAUCUGCAAGCAGAGUCAUCAUCAACAUCAGACAGGAUGACAUUGUAUCCCUCAAUCUGUGCAAUGGCUUCUGCUAUAGGGUUCAGGAGUUUCCAGCUGCUUACCACUCAAUCAUGGACACUGUUAAUGACAGUUGUGGCUGCUUCGCAUGAUGUAUUUUUGUCUCUGCCUUCCUGCCUUUGUGCUGUUGUCUGUGCCCAAUAAUGUUUGUACCAUGUUUUGUUCUGCUACCAUGGUGUGCUGCUGCCAUGUUGCUACCAUGUUGUUAUCAUGUGGGAUUGCUACCAUGCUGUGUUGUCAUGUGUUGCUGCAAUGCUAUAUUGUUGUAUUUGGUCUCUCUUUAUGUAGCGUUGUGGUGUCUCUCUUGUCGUGAUGUGUGUGUUGUCCUAUAUUUUUAUUUUUAAUCACAGCCCCCAUCCUCGCCAUAGGCCUUUUAACUUUUUGUAGGCCGUCAUUGUAAAUAAGAAUUUGUUCUUAACUGACUUGCCUAGUUAAAUAAAGAUUAAAUCAAGUAAAAUAAAACACGCCCGCAAACCUUACAGAGAGAUGUAAAUAUCAAGCUCUCUUCUCCUGGGGUUAAACAUGGAUCUAAACCUUGCAGCAAUUGAUACAUGUACCAAAAACUGCAAUGAAAAGGAUAUGCUGUAGUGUGGGAUCAGAGGUUUUAAAGACAACUGGCUGGCCGCGAGCGCCGGUUCCUUGGGGCCCAGCGAGAGGGGUCUGGGUGGAGGAGGCCGGAAGUCUUGAAAUAUACAUUCCAAGAUUUACACCCAUUGGUUGAGAGACAGAAAAUUGAUAAUUGUAAGAUUGAGCCCAUAGGUUACACAGCAAGCGUGCAGAAUAUGCAUUAUUGUUUCUUUUUUAUAAACUAAAGGUAAAUUGUUGAAUGACGUUUUGCACAGGCUAAUAGGAAAGAGAAGAAGAACAAGACACUAUGCUGAUGAUACAUUUGUAUUCAUUCCCACUAUACCAAACAGAGGGAAUUAUUUUAUGCUUACGGAAUAAAGUUAA